rnacentral:rRNA from 1 species
AUACAGAGGGUGCGAGCGUUAAUCGGAAUUACUGGGCGUAAAGCGUACGUAGGCGGUUGGUUAAGUUAGAUGUGAAAGCCCCGGGCUUAACCUGGGAACUGCAUUUAAAACUGGCGAACUAGAGUUGAGUAGAGGGGAGUGGAAUUUCAGGUGUAGCGGUGAAAUGCGUAGAGAUCUGAAGGAACACCAGUGGCGAAGGCGACUCCCUGGACUCGAACUGACGCUGAGGUACGAAAGCGUGGGUAGCAAACAGGAUUAGAAACCCCAGUAGUCC